rnacentral:rRNA from 1 species
AGCGAACGUUAGCGGCGCGCCUAACACAUGCAAGUCGCACGAGAAAGGGCUUCGGCCCCGGUAAAGUGGCGCACGGGUGCGUAACACGUAGGCAAUCUUCCCUUGGGCGGGGGAUAACGUUUCGAAAGAGACGCUAAUACCGCAUGAGACCACGGACGCUUCGGCGACUGCGGUCAAAGCUGGCCUCUUCAUGAAAGCCAGCACCUAAGGACGAGCCUGCGGCCCAUCAGCAGUUGGUAGGGUAAUGGCCUACCAAGGCGAAGACGGGUAGCUGGUCUGAGAGGAUGAUCAGCCACACUGGCACUGAAACACGGGCCAGACUCCUACGGGAGGCAGCAGUGGGGAAUAUUGGACAAUGGGCGCAAGCCUGAUCCAGCGACGCCGCGUGAGUGA